UUUAACAAUGGCAAAGAGUGGAGGUCAAGCAAAUAGCCUACUUUUUCAGUCUCGAUGAAGGGGGGUAAUUUUACCUUCUCAGCUCAGCUAUUCUCCAGUCCUUAUUUAUGAGAAGCUCACAGGCUGCUGAGUGCAAACUACAGGUGAGAUGAUCUGUAGAAUGAAGGAAAGGACAUUCUGAACACCUCUUGGCUACCUCAAAAGUAAGGAAGCAGAAGCUAUGGAGGAAGAUAACAGCCACAGUAUAAAAGGCCAAAAGAUGAGGCUGGCCCACCCAGCAAUUGCACAGCAUGUUAGGACAUACAAAACAAGCAUGCAGGAGUGCCAAUAUAGCACUGGACAAGGCUUUACAUUUAAAACACUUGCUGUGGCAGAUGUCUGCCACUUCUGGGCAUAGCCUUGCCAUGUAAAUCAAGCCCUUUUCUCCAUACCACGUGGUGACAUGAAGAAUCCCACCCAAUCUGAACCGUAAGGUUUCACCCACUGAAACAGUUGCUAUGUGGAUAGAUAUUUAAAGAGUCUUGUAGAAACACAGCAUCACCCCGUGUUCAAAUAUAUCUAUGAUAUGGUCAUCCUCACUCAAUGAUUACAUAUUCCCAAGGAUAUCUUUGUAUCUGAGAUAUAGAAAAGUGAGAGAAAUAUCUGAAAACCAGCAUGUACCAAGCUCAAAAGCAAUGCACCUAGCCUUAUUGCAAGAAAUGUAUGACUCUGUUUCUCUUCUACAAUUUUUAUUGGGUGGGUUGAGGAAUGAGGUAACCGAAUGUUCUACUUGCUAUAUUGUCCUCUUCAAAUGUUACUGAAAUUACUAAAUUUGUUUUAGCAAUACAAUGAGCUCUUCAGUAUAAGCAAGAGAAAUCAGACAUUAACUCAACAACACUUUUAUUUUCCUGGCACUUGACAACAAUUUCUGAAGAAGAUAAAAGACAGAGAAUAAUGGUAACUGUGAUUGCUAUAGCAGAAAACAUGGAGAAACAGAUCAUUUGACUUCAAGCAAAUAUCCAUCCAUCUCCUUGCCACUAUGACAAGCAGCACGCGUUGCUUCAAGUCAUAUGUGACUUGAAAUAUGAAGUAGCCAAAUAGAAAACAGUGAAUAUUAAUUGCUGUGAAGCACUAAUUAUUCAUGAAAUGGAAGUCUUAUCAACAGUAUGAGCAGAGCUGGAAAUUACUUUACCUCACUUUUAGGUUUCCUUGCUGUGGUUGUCCAUCAUAAAUGGACAAAAUAUCAAAAUCUUCUUCAAGGGCAAACGUAUGAAAUGAUAAUUGUAUCCUGUUACGUUCUCCUGUGAUAAUGAUCCAUGUGCAAUUUGCAUAAUUUGGAUAGCCAUGAGGAAAUCCUGGGCUUUCAAUUGUACCAUUUGGACCCUGUACUAAACCUCCACAGUUCUGACCUGAAAAACAAGGAGAGAGAGAGGAAAAA